rnacentral:Y_RNA from 1 species
GGUUGGUCCGAGUGCAGUGGUGUUUGCAACUAAUUGAUCACAACCAGUUACAGAUUCCUUUGUUCCUUCUCCGCUCCCUCUGCUUCACUUGACCAGCCUUAA